rnacentral:rRNA from 1 species
UUCCGGUUGAUCCUGCCGGAGGCUACCGCUAUUGGAGUUCGAUUAAGCCAUGCGAGUCGAGAGUCUUAGGGACUCGGCGCACCGCUCAGUAACACGUGGGUAACCUGCCCUAUGCUGGGGGAUAACCUCGGGAAACUGAGAAUAAUACCCCAUAGUUCACCACGCCUGGAACGGUGGGUGGAUCAAAGCUCCGGCGGCAUAGGAUGGGCCUGCGACGUAUCAGGUUGUAGGGGGUGUAACGUACCCUCUAGCCAUCAACGCGUACGGGUGUUGGGAGACAUAGCCCGGAGAUGGAUUCUGAGACACGAAUCCAGACCCUACGGGGUGCAGCAGGCGCGAAAACUUGGCAAUGCGAGCAAUCGUGACCAGGGAACUCCAAGUGGCUGGGGUAAUACCCAGUUUUUUCUUGACUCUUCAAAGGUCUUGGAAUAAGGGGUGGGUAAGGACGGUGCCAGCCGCCGCGGUAAUACCGGCGCCUCAAGUGGUAGUCGCUUUUAUUGGGCCUAAAACGUCCGUAGCCGGUCUGGUGCAUUCGUGGGUAAAUCAACCCGCUCAACGGGUUGAAUUCUGCGAGCACGGCCAGACUUGGGACCGGGAGAGGUGUGGGGUACUCUCAGGGUAGGGGUAAAAUCCUGUCAUCCUGAGAGGACCACCUGUUGCGAAGGCGCCACACUAGAACGGAUCCGACGGUCAGGGACGAAACCUAGGGGCACGAACCGGAUUAGAUACCCGGGUAGUCC